ACCCGAAGUCGGUGAGGUAACCUUUUAGGAGCCAGCCGCCGAAGGUGGGACAGAUGAUUGGGGUGAAGUCGUAACAAGGUAGCCGUAUCGGAAGGUGCGGCUGGAUCACCUCCUUUCUAAGGA
rnacentral:rRNA from 2 species